UACGAAGGGUGCAAGCGUUACUCGGAAUUACUGGGCGUAAAGCGUGCGUAGGUGGUUUGUUAAGUCUGUUGUGAAAUCCCCGGGCUCAACCUGGGAAUUGCAGUCGAGACUGCUCGGCUAGAGUGUGGGAGAGGGUGGUGGAAUUCCCGGUGUAGCGGUGAAAUGCGUAGAUAAUCGGGAGGAACAUCAGUGGCGAAGGCGACCACCUGGCCCCAACACUGACGCUGAGGUGCGAAAGCGUGGGUAGCAA
rnacentral:rRNA from 1 species